GCGCUGCUUUUCUCUACGUGCUUUGCACAUGCGCGACUGCUUUUCCCUUCUUCCUCGGCUUCCACUGGCGCCCACGGUUCGCGGAGCCGCCGGUAGCGCGGCGGAGAAGUGGGGAAGUUCAAGAUGGCCGCCGCGGAGCCCCCGUCGCUGCGGGAGCAGCCGGAAAUGGAUGAUGGUGAUAAUUCUGAAAAGAGUGUAAAUGAAGAAAAUGGAGAAGUAUCAGAAGACCAAUCUCAAAAUAAACACAGUCGUCACAAAAAAAAGAAGCAUAAACACAGAAGUAAACAUAAGAAACAUAAACAUUCCUCAGAAGAAGAUAGGGAUAAAAAACAUAAACAUAAGCAUAAGCAUAAGAAACGCAAAAAAGGAGCUGUAGAUGCCUCUGACAAAGAAGGCCUCUCCCCUGCAAAAAGAACUAAACUUGAUGACUUAGCUUUGCUGGAAGACUUGGAAAAACAGAGAGCUUUGAUUAAAGCUGAGCUUGACAAUGAGUUAAUGGAGGGAAAGGUCCAGUCUGGAAUGGGGCUCAUUUUGCAAGGCUAUGAGUCUGGCUCUGAAGAAGAAGGAGAGAUUCAUGAAAAGGCAAGAAAUGGAAAUAGGUCCAGUACCAGGUCUUCCAGUACACGGGGGAAACUUGAAAUUACGGACAACAAAAAUAGUGCAAAAAAACGAAGUAAAAGCAGAUCCAAAGAAAGGACUAGACACAGGUCGGAUAAAAGGAAAAGCAAGGGCGCUGUUGACAUGGUAAGAGAGAAAGCAAAUAGGAGCAAGUCCAAGGAGAGGAGAAAAUCCAUAAGUCCGUCCAAAAGAAGCAAAUCUCAAGACCAAGCAAGAAAAUCAAAGUCCCCUACCCUUAGACGGCGGUCCCAAGAAAAGAUUGGGAAGGCCAAAUCUCCUACUGAUGAGAAGAUUAAGAUUGAAGAUAAAGGUAAAAUAAAAGAUAGGAAGAAAUCACCAAUUGUAAAUGAAAGAAGUCGAGAUCGAUCUAAAAAAUCCAGGUCUCCAGUUGACCUAAGAGAUAAAUCCAAAGACAGAAGGUCAAGGUCCAAAGAGCGAAAGUCAAAGCGGUCUGAAAUUGACAAAGAAAAGAAGCCAAUUAAGUCUCCUUCAAAAGAUGCCUCUUCAGGGAAGGAAAAUAGGUCACCCAGUAGAAGACCUGGCCGGAGUCCCAAAAGAAGAAGUUUAUCUCCAAAACAGCGAGACAAGUCAAGAAGAAGUAGGUCCCCACUUCUCAAUGACAGACGGUCUAAGCAGAGUAAAUCGCCUUCUCGAACUCUGUCUCCAGGUAGAAGGGCCAAGAGCCGAUCCUUAGAAAGAAAGCGAAGAGAGCCAGAGAGGAGACGACUUUCUUCUCCAAGAACACGGCCUCGAGAUGAUAUUCUCAGUAGAUGCGAACGAUCAAAAGAUGCUAGCCCCAUCAAUAGGUGGUCUCCAACCCGAAGAAGAAGUAGGUCUCCCAUUAGGAGGAGAUCCCGUUCCCCGUUGAGACGCAGCAGGUCUCCAAGACGAAGAAGCAGGUCCCCUCGGAGAAGAGAUAGGGGUCGAAGGAGCAGGUCUCGCUUGAGAAGAAGAUCUCGGUCACGUGGUGGUCAUAGGAGAAGGAGCAGAAGCAAAGUAAAGGAAGAUAAAUUUAAAGGAAGUCUUUCUGAAGGAAUGAAAGUUGAGCAAGAAUCUUCAUCUGAUGAUAACCUUGAAGAUUUUGAUGUAGAGGAAGAAGAUGAAGAGGCGCUAAUAGAACAGAGGAGGAUACAGAGGCAGGCAAUUGUACAGAAAUAUAAAUAUCUUGCUGAAGAUAGCAAUAUAUCUGUGCCAUCUGAGCCGAGCAGCCCCCAGAGCAGCACGAGGUCACGAUCGCCUUCUCCAGAUGACAUCUUGGAGCGGGUAGCUGCUGAUGUAAAAGAAUAUGAGCGAGAGAAUGUUGACACCUUUGAGGCCUCAGUAAAAGCCAAGCAUAAUCUAAUGACGGUUGAACAAAAUAAUGGUUCAUCUCAGAAGAAGCUUUUGGCACCUGAUAUGUUUACAGAAUCUGAUGAUAUGUUUGCUGCUUAUUUUGAUAGUGCUCGUCUCCGUGCUGCUGGCAUCGGGAAAGAUUUCAAAGAGAAUCCCAACCUUAGAGAUAAUUGGACAGAUGCAGAAGGCUAUUACCGUGUGAACAUUGGGGAAGUCCUAGAUAAGCGUUAUAAUGUUUAUGGCUACACUGGGCAGGGUGUGUUUAGCAAUGUUGUACGUGCCAGGGAUAAUGCAAGAGCCAAUCAGGAAGUGGCGGUAAAGAUCAUCAGAAACAAUGAACUCAUGCAAAAGACUGGUUUAAAAGAACUAGAAUUCUUGAAAAAACUUAAUGAUGCUGAUCCUGAUGACAAAUUUCAUUGCCUGCGCCUCUUCAGACACUUUUACCAUAAGCAACACCUCUGUCUUGUAUUCGAGCCUCUCAGUAUGAACUUGCGAGAGGUAUUAAAAAAGUACGGUAAGGAUGUCGGUCUCCAUAUUAAAGCUGUGAGAUCCUACAGUCAGCAAUUGUUCCUGGCGUUGAAACUCCUUAAAAGAUGCAACAUCCUGCAUGCAGAUAUCAAGCCAGACAAUAUUCUGGUCAAUGAAUCAAAAACAAUUUUAAAGCUUUGUGAUUUUGGAUCGGCUUCGCAUGUUGCAGAUAAUGACAUAACGCCUUAUCUUGUCAGUAGAUUUUAUCGUGCUCCGGAGAUCAUUAUAGGUAAAAGCUAUGACUAUGGUAUCGAUAUGUGGUCUGUAGGUUGCACCUUAUAUGAACUCUAUACUGGAAAAAUCUUAUUUCCUGGCAAAACUAAUAACCAUAUGUUGAAGCUCGCCAUGGACCUCAAAGGAAAGAUGCCAAAUAAGAUGAUUCGGAAAGGUGUAUUCAAAGACCAACAUUUUGACCAAAAUCUGAACUUCAUGUACAUAGAGGUUGAUAAAGUAACAGAGAGGGAGAAAGUUACUGUCAUGAGCACCAUUAACCCAACUAAGGACCUGUUGGCUGACUUGAUUGGGUGCCAGCGACUUCCUGAAGAUCAACGUAAAAAAGUACACCAGCUAAAGGACUUGUUGGACCAGAUCCUAAUGUUGGACCCGGCUAAGCGAAUUAGCAUCAACCAGGCCCUGCAGCAUGCAUUCAUCCAGGAAAAAAUUUAAACGAGAUGAAGAAACUCCAAGGGUUUGAGUAACUAAAUACAAAGACUGAAGAAAUUUCACAGCAGUUUAUUAUUAAUGUAUAUAAACUUAUAAAUAUUUCUGCAGCAAAUUUGAGGAAGCAUGAUAUAUUUGAAUUAACACCAAGGGUGAUAUUUCUUUUAGAAAUGUUAGUUAAACUGUUUUGUGUCUUAUGUGAAAUUUCACUGUAGAAAUGUUUUAAUUGCCAAGACUGCACAAAAUUAAAGUGCUAAUGUAUAUGGUUGCAGUUCACAUAAAAGACAAAAGCAUCUGUUAUGAGUAGCAAUGCUGGGUGGUUGAUUUGUUUUUAGCAGACUUGGCUUCAUUUUGGUCUUCAGAUACAAUGGCCAGCAUAAAUGCUGUUUAUAUUCACAUUUUCCUAGGUGUGUGUGUGCAGGCCACAGCAGCAUGCCCUUGGUGUAGUCAGUGCCGAAGGGAGUCUGUUCCUUCUUGAGCCUGCCUGCAGGGAUGUCUCCUCUUUUAAAGCAGGUUGUGUACAACAUUCAGUACACUGAAGGUAAGCUAAACCAUCAACAUCACCAGUGUUUUAAGAUGUUAUUUUAUUGGAAUAAUUGAAAAUGAGGGAUAGCUGUGUGGCAGAAUUUCCUGCAUGUGUGAUAAUUGAUCUUGUUUUAUUUUUCUGGCAUCGCGACUGUGGCAUAGUUACAGUUUCUGUUCUGUUCAUCACAUUUAAAAUUUGAAGCGUAUGCGCUUGAUGGAUAGAGCGCCUUCAGUGUACUGUUUCUUAUUAACUUUACUUUUUUUUUAAAAUCAACUUGCUAUAGACUUUAUAUACAUUUUGUUAAAUACAGUUCUUAGUGACAUAGAAACUGCAUAGUUUUCAUUUACUAAUUAAAAUGUUGAGGCCUACUUCUGAAAGUCCUCAUAUUUAAAAGAUAGACAGCAUAAUGAGAUUUUUAACUAUUUGUAUGUCAUUUUGAAAGUGUACUGCUUUAUGGUAAAAGUGUUUUUCAUUUGUUCAUUGUUUGCAUUAUUUGUGAUCAUGUUGUCUUUCAAUACAGGCAUAAACCUCCCACUCUUGAACAAAGCAGCUGCUUUUUAAAAGCGGUAAUUGCUUCUUUACCUUUUAUUUCUUUUGUAAAUGAAGCUUUUUCUUUAAAAAUGUGACUUUAAAGUGUUGUCUAUUGCAUAAACAGUUGACACUCACUUACUGUAAAGUGAACAUUGUUCUCCUGCAUGGGAAGUGGACCAUGCAGAAUUCUGUAUGUUCUCAGUAUGCAUCACUAGAUAAUAAAGUCUUUUGUGAACAAGGCAUUUGUAGCCAUUUUUAAAAGAUUUUGUCUUCAGUGCUGGUAAGUCAGGUAAACUGUAAAUAGUUAAAAACAGUCUUUGUUUUUCUCCUGAAAGUAUUACCUGCUAAAGAUAUAACUCAGCCUAGCCUGAUUUUUAAAUUUUUCUUAAUUAUUAGGGUCUUAAUUAUUUCCCCCAGAUGAAAAGUUUUGUCAGCUUUCAGUGUAGUGAGGUUAUUCCUGUAGGUUAUGGGGUAUAACUCAGGGUUUAACUAAUGUUUCUGCUAUUUUCUCACUUUUCCUUUUGAUGGUGCGGAAAGAGAAAAAGGAAAACGGGGCACAGGCCAUUCGACGCCUUCUCCAAGGGGUCUGAUUUGCUGAGACACCAGCUUCACCUUCUUAACAAGGUUAUUUCUGACAGCAUGUGUAGAUAAACAUUUAGCAACAAUUUAAAACAAAAUCAUGUAAAUCAGCUUGGUUUUGCAACACAAAGGAAUUUGUAUUUUUAAUAUGGUAUAAGAGAAUUUUCAGAAUCCUGUGUAAUCUUUUCUGUUUGGGAGUGGGUAAACUUACUGCUUGUCUCCCUGAGGAUUAUGAGAACAAUUAAAUUUUGGGGUUUAAAUAAUAUUUUUACAUUGUAAAUGGGAUUUUUUUAUUCACCCAGGCACCUAAUUACAACAAGCAUGCACAUUUUGGUGCAUUCAAGAAUGGAAUAUCAGAGUAGCAGCAUUCUCCUGGUGCGGCUCAGUGGAAGAUGACGGCAGCCAGAAGACAUGAGCCAAGGCUUCUGUCCCAUAAAAGACCUUUUCAGUUGUCAUUUUUAGUUUCAGCAUUACAAUUUGGGUGUCGUUGCUGUGGUCGUUAGAGUAGUGGUGCUGUUGUGCUCGUCUGUAAAGUGUUUGUUUUUAUCACAUUUGCUGCAGCCACACCCUUCUUCUAAAGUGAAAAUCAGCUCAGUCAUAGAAAAAGCCCACACUCAUGGUCAUCAGAGUCACUGAGAAAGCAGUAGCUGCCAAGUCAGUGUGCAUUUGAAAGUAAUCUGCAAGUUGGGUUUAUUGACCACACUGGGCAAGUGGAGGCAGUAAGAGUUUGAGAUCAAGGCCUGCUUAGCCUAUAUGAACCCCCUCCUUUUGUUUUUGUUUUCUUUUUAAAAUAAUUCUUUAGCUUUAAACAGGCACCUAAAUUGUAUGAGUAGUAAAAUUUUAAUAAACUAUUUGACUCUCUUAAUAGCUCUUCUUUCUCUUAGUCCUUCAUGACCAGCUUUUUAGUACCAGAGACAAGGGGGAGGUGUGAAGCAUGGUCCUGUACUAUUCCCCAAAGUAAUAGUAAGCUGUAAGCUGUAUUAGUAUGUGCCAUUCUGUGUGGUGGGUGACUUCUCUGAGGUGUGUGAGACCUCUGUUAGUUGAGGUCAUUUGGCUAAUGACCCUAUUUAUCAAACCUGUGUUUGUGUUUCUGAGUGGCUGAGCCGUUUCCACAUAAAAUUGUCAUGAGCUUUAGACUUUCAUACCUUAUGGGAAAAUGACAAGUGAUUAUCAGACUUGAGGUUAAUAAAACUAUUUUGUCUUUUAGAAAAAUUUUAAAGCCAGGUUUUGUUCUUCUUAGGAAAUAAAGAUACAUGGGUAUUCAUAUAGUCAUUAUACACAUGAGCAGUUAAUCCAAAGAUCUUCUGAUGUUAAAACCAUUAUUCAGGGCAGUACAUGCACACACCUCGAAGAGUGCUCAGAAAACUCUUAAGCAUAACUCUCAGACAUUUGGUUAUCUGAGAUUAGAGGAGGAAAGGACAGUCAGGAAGCAUCUGUUGUAGAUGUUAGGCCUCUUGGCAGACUUUGUUCUCAGGGACCAUCAGAAAUGAGGGAGUGUGGCGGUUCUGAACAGGAGCAGCUUAUUGGUAUAAACAGCAACCUCUCAGUAUUUGUGUUUACACUGAAGUCCUGAUUGAAAACCUUCUGGGUCUUUAUUCCCAGUGACUACUUUCUCAGUUAUUUUGUUGAAAAAUAAUAAUGUGAUUUAUAUCUUACCAUUGCAGUUACCAUCUUUUUUCCUAAUGAAACUAAAUACUCAGGACAGUUUUGGAAUAGAAAAUACAUAUUUUAUUGUGUGUAGCAGACUUAGUAAAAUGUAGUUUUCUCAUUUUAGCGCCAGGUUUGCAUUUAUCCUAGUCUACUUUACCUGCAUAGGCACAAAUCGACUGAAAUGAAACAAAGGGAUUAUAUGUAUUCAAAUUUAGGUUAGACAUUUAGGAAAUGAAUGUAUUUAUUUUGGCAAUGAGAUUAUAUAGUGAAAUGUGAUAUGUAGUAUGCUUCCUUUCUUAUGAUACUAUUAGCAGUUGGACUCUAUAAGAAAGUAUUGUUCUGUGGCCAUAGUAUAUGCAACAUGAAUUUAUUCUCCUACAUCAAAUGUUCUUAUACAAAUGUUGACUGCAAAUUCAUUGUACUUUUUACAUGUUGAUGCUGUAUACAAAGUUGACUAUAAAAUGUGUUUUGUUUUUCUUUUGUUGGUUACAUUGAGAUACCACUGUGGCAUCCUUACUUUCUCUUCUUCUGUAUAUAGGGUAAGGGACUGUUCUUCUGAAGAACCAUUCCAUUUAGUGAUCAAGAUACAGCAGCUGCUCUCAGAAAAUGCUUGAUGUGUAUCCUAAUUGUUCACGAUGCCAUUUGAGUUGUAACUUGCAUUGUAGCAGCAAAUGAUCCCCAACAACCUAAUAGGAAGCUUAAUAAAGUAUGCC